GUUCUUCAACUGAUCGACUUUAUGGAAGCUUCGACGGAAAUGUGUUUGGAUCGUUUAGCAGUCUCGGAGACUUGUCGGUGAUUCGGAGUUUCAAUUUGUCUUUAGAUCUGCCCUAAUUUCUUCAUUAUUCACAGAUAUGACACAAUUACCAGAUGGUAUGCUUAGUAAUCCACAAAUUAAGCAACCUUUUGGCUCUUUGGACGUCAUCAUGCCUUGGUAUUGUUGUGAUUACUGCGAGAUACUUACUUGACGCAUGAUUUUGUUAUACUGAUGGAAGUGCCACUGCAAUGUUAAUCAAUUGUUUCCACACUGCUACUGGUGCUGAAGCGACAAGUUAUAUAUAACAAUGGAAUAAUAUAUCCAUCAACUGGAUGGCAGAAGGAUUGAUAACUGGAAACGGAGAUCGAGAAAAAGAAAUCAACAAAGGGUACACAGUGCUUGAAAUGCUUAAAGAUGCUUGCUUGCUCGAAGACGUUGGUUCAGAUUACGUCAAGAUGCAUGAUUUAGUUAGGGAUAUGGCUAUCCGGAUAGCUAGGGAGGGCCCGAUGUUGAUAAAUAAAUCUGCAUCGAAAUUAAACCAAUUGGCAAGAGUAUGGAUCGAAAAUGUUGAGUGGGCUUCUCUGUGAUGGAUAACGGUAUUAGUAUUGUACCUGAUUAUCCAAACUGCCAGAAACUGUCUACUUUGCUUCUUCAGAGGAACCCACUUUCUAAAAACAUUCUCGAUUCGUUCUUUAUGCAGAUGUCGCAUCUUAAAGUACUUGACCUCUCUAAAACCGGCAUCAAGUCAUUACCGGAGUCGGUUUCAACUUUGUGUAGCCUUCGAGAUUCCUUCAUUAACCAUGCUUAAAGAUCUGAGAGUGUUGGACUUGUCACAUAGCCGUUUUUGGGGGUUCUUAGUGAUAUAGUCGGCUGUCAUGGAACCAAAUUUGGGGGUUCUUGGUGGUAUAUUGGGCUUUCAUGGGAAAAGAAGGCGUGUAUCCGGAAGCAUACUCAUUUGAAGGCAUUCACUGUCAAUUAGGUGAAAGAGGAAGUUGAAUCAACAAUAUAAAAACAUAUAGCUUCCAUGAGCUGGUGGAAUGACAAUUACGCAUGUGGAUGUUACGUAUGACGGGAAGUGGAUUUUGGUCACGAGCGAUGGGAAGCAAGAACGCCAUCUGGUUGCUACGGUGGGUAAAUUUAAUGUGAUAUGGAACUUCCAACAGGUGAAAGAUGGGUCCCACAAAUGCUACAGAAAUCAAGUGGGACUGAAGAGCUGCUACUGCUACAAGAUUGUCCCCAAAGACGACUUAAUUGUUGAUAGUCAUUUCAUGCACGAGAAAUUUGCAGUUAGUGAUUCACCGGAAGCCCCUCUGUUAAUUCUGUUAAACGAUAUCGUGGAAAAGUUGAUUGUACUUUAGUUGUUAGCAACUAUAUUGUUGUUAUGGAUUUAUGGCUAAGGAGAACCUGAAUGCUUGGUUUAUAUUCGAGCUCACAUGGCUUUUUGCGCUUGACCUUCCGCCCUAUAACCCUAUUGUUGUAUAUCUGCAAGAGGUGACAAAACGGGUCAAACGGUGGGUAAUGGGUCAAUACAGGUUUAGCUUGUAGCAGGCUGUUUUUCAUGUGGAGAGCCUUUGAAGAAAAGACCCCAUGUAAAUCAAUCCUGAUUCGUCGAGGUGUGUAGAUUCAGGACCCGAUAUGCUGCAGGUGAGGGAUGGAUUUAGAGAACUGUGAUUAUGUUCUAGCCUCGUGCAUCAUAAGCUGCUCAAUAUGCUGGUGCAUCUUGGUUUGGUUAAAAAUCCCGCUGCCAUGAAAUCAGUUCUCAAUUAAAGGCUUAUGGAAUCUCUUGAGGAGGUUUAAUGGAUCUAAGCGGUGGAAGAAAGUGGUGGGUGUGGCCUUUCUUAACACCUUCUAGACGAUAUGGAAGAAGCAUAGAAACGAGCUGCAGUUCAAUGG